GAUGAACGCUAGCUAUAGGCUUAACACAUGCAAGUCGAGGGGAAACGGCAUUAUGUGCUUGCACAUUUUGGACGUCGACCGGCGCACGGGUGAGUAUCGCGUAUCCAACCUGCCCUUUACUUGGGGAUACCCCGUUGAAAGACGGCCUAAUACCCGAUGUAAUUCAUUGAUGGCAUCAGAUAUGAAUAAAAGAUUUAUCGGUAAAGGAUGGGGAUGCGUCUGAUUAGCUUGUUGGUGAGGUAACGGCUCACCAAGGCAACGAUCAGUAGGGGUUCUGAGAGGAAGGUCCCCCACAUUGGAACUGAGACACGGUCCAAACUCCUACGGGAGGCAGCAGUGAGGAAUAUUGGUCAAUGGGCGCAAGCCUGAACCAGCCAAGUAGCGUGCAGGAAGACGGCCCUAUGGGUUGUAAACUGCUUUUAUACGAGAAUAAUUUGAUGCACGUGUGCGUUAUUGCAUGUAUCGUAUGAAUAAGGACCGGCUAAUUCCGUGCCAGCAGCCGCGGUAAUACGGAAGGUCCAGGCGUUAUCCGGAUUUAUUGGGUUUAAAGGGAGUGUAGGCGGUUUGUUAAGCGUGUUGUGAAAUUUAGAUGCUCAACAUUUAACUUGCAGCGCGAACUGUCAGACUUGAGUACACGCAACGUAUGCGGAAUUCAUGGUGUAGCGGUGAAAUGCUUAGAUAUCAUGAAGAACUCCGAUUGCGAAGGCAGCAUACGGGAGUGUAACUGACGCUGAAGCUCGAAGGUGCGGGUAUCGAACAGG
rnacentral:rRNA from 1 species